rnacentral:tRNA from 1 species
GGGGCUGUGGCUCAGUGGUAGAGCGCUCACCCAGCACGCGUGGGGCCCUGGGUUCGAUCCUCAGCACCACA